rnacentral:rRNA from 1 species
AUACGUAGGGAGCGAGCGUUACCCGGAAUUACUGGGCGUAAAGAGCACGUAGGCGGUUGGAUAAGUCUUCUGUGAAAGCUCCCGGCUCAACUGGGCGAGGUCAGGGGAUACUAUUCGACGUGAGGGCUGUAGAGGUAAGCGGAAUUCCCGGUGUGGCGGUGAAAUGCGUAGAUAUCGGGAGGAACACCAGCGGCGAAAGCGGCUUACUGGGCAGUGCCUGACGCUGAGGUGCGAGAGCGUGGGGAGCAAACUGGAUUAGAAACCCCAGUAGUCC